GUUAUUUUUCGUUCUUGUAAUAUAUUUUUUGUAUUAAUUUUAUGAAGUUAUUAAUAUAUUAUUUUAUAUAUCACGUUUAAUGAGCAAUUUGUUAAUUUUUACUUACUCGAUUAGAAAAUUAAAGUCGGUCUUGCACCUACUUUUGUCGGUUUGAUUAAACAAAGCCCCAACCCAAUUGUUUUCUCCCUCCUCGUGGUACUUUCCAAACAUAAAACCCCAAAGAAAACUGAAACCCCGUGAAAACCCAUCCCCUUUCCCCUGUUCUUCUCUCUUCGCUGCGACCUCGCCGCACCUCCCCUUCAAUUAGCCGGCGAUUUGCCGAGCUUACUAGAGAUACCGCACCACUCCCUUCUCCUCUGUUUCGUCGCUACUACUAUUGUUCGUGGGUGUCGUUCUGCGUUGCUGCACUUCGUGCAUCGCGUCACACCACGCUGGCUUCGCCGGAACUUCUCUCGGCUCGCGCCGCUGCUGUGUCGGUGUUGCUGCUGUGUUUAAUUAGUGUUGUCGCACCCUUACCUGUGAUGGGUCACACAACCCUUGUUGGUUGCGCGACCGUGAAGGUGGCUCUGCUUUUGUUUCUCUCUCUUUUCAUUGUUGUUGCCGCAACCAGUGGGUUCUCUCUCUCCCCUGUUGUCUUGUCGGUGCUGCUGCCACUUUUGGUGGUGGUCGUGUGUUGGUAAAUGGUUGAAAAACACCAAGGUUUGAUAUCAGAGCUCGAAAUUGGAAGUGAAGCGAGAUUAUGAUGUCGUCGUAGAUUAUGGAUUAAGUUUGUAUUUAGAUAGUUGAUUCAGGAAUAGUUAUUUAUAUUUCAUUGUAUACUAUAUUUGGGAAUAUUAGUCGAGUUAUUGGUCUAAUUAAGGUUGUUUUUCCGCUGCAAAAUGAUUUAUUUAAGAGUAAAUUAUUGAUUA